GUGAAUUAGGCAUCUGCUCAAGUCUUGAAGAUGACUCUAGCACUAAAGUAUGUAAUGCAAAGUAUUAGGAAAUACAACAGCUUUUAAGAUAUUCACCAUGAUGCAAAUUUUGUUCUUUGAUCUUCUCUGUCAGUGAACUGAUCGCUACUUGCAGGAAAAGGUGUCGGCUGGCAGGGGUAAUAGUGCGUCAAUGAAGGUCAGAACAGGUCUGGAACAUGAUUAGCAAACUUACAGGUUCGUUCACGGGCAGACUACGAGGGCUUUGUUAACAUUAAUUGGAUCUGAAAAAAAACUGUGAGGGGUUGCCGUAUGCCAAUAUCACCAAAAGUGCGAGUUCAGGGAGAAAAUUUCUUCUUUCUACUUGAUCAAGUAUACCUCCAUGUUGAUAGACCACUUAAUAUUUUUUUAGCGUCUCUAGAUUAUAAUAUGGUUGUCUGUGACCAAAGAACUACUGCAAAGCAUACAUAAGUGGUAUUGUAGCUUAGAGCAAAGAAAAAUUGGAAAUGCUAUUUGGAUAGGAAAAAGUUUAUAGCUUAGAUGAUACUAAUUCCACCUGCAGUAUGAUCGUAUUUCUCGAUAAGAUAUGGCCAUACGAUGUCAAACAGCACUCAAUUUUCCCAUGUAUGUUAGAUGAAACGCACAAGGAAAAAAGUCAUGGACUCACUUGCAGGCGCCUAAUGUGUCCUUUUGUUAAGUAACAAUGCAUGCUUCAGCUUAUAAUCUAUUCAAUAAAUUUGAUGGUCUUAUCUCAUAUUUUUAGUUAUUCUACAAUGUCAAAGUUGACAUCAGGGAUCACGCCCUCAUGUUCUUAUAGGAAUAACCUCUUGCUAACAUUCUGAGACAUGACUGUAUUUAGUCUCUCUUCAAAUACGCUUGAGUUGAUACAUUUUCUGUCCUCCUAAUUCUGUUUCCUCACCUGAAUCAAAUGUAAGUUGGUCAUACCUAGCCAUGAGGAACAAAUUUCUUUUUCUGUUCUCCAUAACUACUGUUGAAUAAAUUGGCCGGUCAAUGCAAUGGCAGUGGCAGGAAACAUCAGCACCACACUGCAAAUCUUGAAAAAACAAAUGGUACACAUACGAUGCUUUGCUAACGGAUGGUGGUAGGACACAAAUGUGGACCAUACAGGUUGAAAACAAGAGAGAUACCAAUAUACUAUGUCAUUGGUCGUAUUUAUCUAUGAGAAAGCCAUUGGUCGUACUAGGAUAGGACAAUAUGUGUAGCAUCACUCAACUAGCAUAGUAGUGAGUCCAUUUAUAAGCUAUUGCUAGGAAAAGUUUUACUUCAGGAGGAGUCGCCUGUUGGUACAUUUAUUUAUACGACAACUUGAAGUUAGAUUGUUUUCCUUGGAGUUAUAAAGCAAGGUAAUAUUAUCUCACAUAUUUUAAUUACAUGCAUGAUUUUUAUUUCUCCUUCUAACUAAAAAACAACACGUAAUAUUGGUUCAUGUUGAAAAGAACGAAAAAUGUUUCUAAAAUGUUUUCGAUUCACCUAUAUUUUUCUUUGCAUAAUUCAUUAUAUUAAUCUUGGCCCACUCAAUUUUUAUUUCUUGCUGAUAUAUAAUCAAUUUUUCAUAUUUUGUAAAGUGAUGUAGAUCACAUGACACCAGGGAACCAAAGCAAUGCAUGUGGACUGUAUAAACAUUUGAAUAUUUUAUCGCACUUCCACUUGAUUUCUGAGAUUGGGCAAAUAAUCAAGUGGCCGCUACUGGGCGAUUCUCUUUUAGUGUGUACAAUCUUUCAACAAUUCAGCAUGGAGAAUUCCUAAUGAGUAUACGAAGAAAUCAUGUGUUUCUCAAUAUAACAGCAUGGCAGACACUCAUGGACUCAAGUUUAUUUAGUUGCUUGACAGUAUGGCAUGAUUACAAACAUCACGCUGCUCUGUGGUUCAGUAAUUGUACACUAUAUUUAAGAAAGUAUUGUCAGCAGUUUUGUUUGUAAACAUCCGAAUAUCAUUUGUUUCCACAAUUGAAGCAUUAGUAA